rnacentral:rRNA from 1 species
AAUACGUUCCCGGGCCUUGUACACACCGCCCGUCACAUCACGAAAGUGGAUUGUACUAGAAGUCCCAAUUUAAACCGGCCCAAGGUAUGAUUCAUGAUUGGGGUG